rnacentral:misc_RNA from 1 species
ACAUCCGAAAGACCGAGGUCAUACUUGGAAGAUCCACAGAUGAUGUUGAGGUUGACAUUGAUUUACGAAAAGAAGGUCGUGCUAACAAAAUAUCUCGGCGUCAGGCAAGCAUCAAGAUGGAAUCGGAUGGAUCCUUCUGUCUGAAGAAUCUAGGGAGGUGCUCAAUAGCAGUGAAUGGCAAAUCUGUUGAUACUGGGCAGUAUCUGACCCUUAGCAGUAGUUGUGUGAUAGAGAUAAGGGAAAUGAGUUUUUUGUUUGAGAUGAACCCCAAGUAUGUCAAGCAGUACAUAGAAAGCAUUACCCAGAAUAAAGGAACAGUUAGCAAAUUUGAACGGUCACCUGAAAGGAAACCAUGAUGUACACCUUCAAG